ensembl:snRNA U4 U4 spliceosomal RNA
AGCUUUGCGCAGUGGCAGUAUCGUAGCCAAUGAGGUUUAUCCGAGGCACGAUUAUUGCUAAUUGAAAAAUAUUUCAAGUACUAUUUUAAACAUACUUUAUACAAUAGUUGAUACAAACUUGAGAAAUUGUUUCAGAAAA